AGCUGGGGCAGCCGCUGGAGCGUGUUCUUGGACAGGAGGAAGAGUCCGGGGAACACCACCCCCCCGGCCACCAUCGGGGCUGCCCUUGAACUCAUGAAGUAGCCCAGCCUCGCCUUGGACUCAAGAUCCCCCUGCCUCAGGUUCCCGAAUACAAGGAUUACAGACUGGCGUGGUUCUGAAGGCCCCAGCGGAAGACAGCAAAGCACCCUGGGAAGAAGAUGCAGCCUAGUACAAAAAGCAGGAC